GAGAGAUGAUACUGAAAGAAAGAGAGAGAGAGAGAGACGGAUUUCACUUUUGUAUAUUAUCUACUUCACUUGCUUUGGCAAUGUUAACAUAUGUUUCCCAUGCCAAUAAAGCCCCUGGAAUUGAAUUGAAUUGAGAGACGGAGAGAGGGAGAGAGAGAGAGAGAAGCUGUGUUCCCAGUUGCCUUGAAAGCACCAUAAAUCCAGAGAAUGCCAGACUUUGAUGACAAAAUUUGCCCACGAAGGACCGACGCACCACCAUCCUGUGAGCACAGCAUGACAAGUGACCACUCAUGUGGAUGGGGGAAUUGUCAUCCAAUGGGGACAUAGCAAUGGUAGCCAAAAUAAAGUCUGUCACUGUCCGCGGGCAGCAUUUGGCAAUCUCAAGGCUGUGCGUUACAGGGAAGACAUCCUCCUCCCUCAUGUGGUACCCUUCCUGUAGGCUCAUCCUGACAUGACCCUCCAGCAUGACAAUGCCACCAGCCAUACUGCUCGUUCUGUGUGUGAUUUCCUGCAAGACAAGAAUGUCAGUGUUCUGCCAUGGCCAGCGAAGAGCCCGGAUCUCAAUCCCAUUGAGCACGUCUGGGACCUGUUGGAUCGGAGGGUGAGGGCUAGGGCCAUUCCCCCCAGAAAUUCCGGGAAGUUGCAGGUGCCUUGGUGGAAGAGUGGGGUAACAUCUCACAGCAAGAACUGGCAAAUCUGGUGCAGUCCAUGAGGAGGAGAUGCACUGCAGUACUUAAUGCAGCUGGUGGCCACACCAGUUUCUGACUGUUACUUUUGACC
rnacentral:lncRNA from 1 species